rnacentral:rRNA from 1 species
CCUACGGGAGGCAGCAGUGAGGAAUAUUGGUCAAUGGACGCAAGUCUGAACCAGCCAUGCCGCGUGCAGGAAGACGGCUCUAUGAGUUGUAAACUGCUUUUGUACGAGGGUAAACGCAGAUACGCGUAUCUGUCUGCAAGUAUCCUAUGAAUAAGCAUCGGCUAACUCCGUGCCAGCAGCCGCGGUAAUACGGAGGAUGCAAGCGUUAUCCGGAUUUAUUGGGUUUAAAGGGUGCGUAGGCGGUCGGAUAAGUUAGAGGUGAAAUCUCGAGGCUCAACUUCGGAAUUGCCUCUGAUACUGGUCGGCUUGAGAGUAUUUGCGGUAGGCGGAAUGUAUGGUGUAGCGGUGAAAUGCUUAGAGAUCAUACAGGACACCGAUUGCGAAGGCAGCUUACCAAGCUACUUCUGACGUUGAGGCACGAAAGCGUGGGGAGCAAACAGGAUUAGAUACCCUUAUAGUC